AUUGAACGCUGGCGGCAGGCCUAACACAUGCAAGUCGAGCGAGCGGCGGAUGGGUGAGUAAUGUCUGGGUAACUGCCUGAUGGAGGGGGAUAACUACUGGAAACGGUAGUUAAUACUGCAUACCAUCAAGUGUGCCCAGAUGUGAUUAGCUAGUAGGUGGGGUAACGGCCUACCUAGGCGACGAUCCCUAACUGGUCUGAGAGGAUGAUCAGCCACACUGGGACUGAGACACGGCCCAGACUCCUACGGGAGGCAGCAGUGGGGAAUAUUGCACAAUGGGCGAAAGCCGGAUGCAGCCAUGCCGCGUGUAUGAAGAAGGCCUUCGGAUUGUAAAGUACUUUCAGUCGGGAGGCGUUACCGACAGAAGAAGCACCGACUAACUCCGUGCCAGCAGCCGCGGUAAUAC
rnacentral:rRNA from 1 species